rnacentral:ncRNA from 1 species
CUGCCCAGAGCUCUGAAUGUUAAAUCGUAGUAAUUCGAGUAAGCGCGGGUAAACGGCGGGAGUAACUAUGACUCUCUUAAGGUAGCCAAAUGCCUCGUCAGCUAACUGAGGGCAACAGCAAUG